rnacentral:rRNA from 1 species
UACGUAGGGUGCAAGCGUUGUCCGGAAUCAUUGGGCGUAAAGAGCGUGUAGGCGGCUCGACCAGUCCGCUGUGAAAGUCCAGGGCUCAACCCUGGAAAGCCGGUGGAUACUGUCGGGCUAGAGUACGGAAGAGGCGAGUGGAAUUCCUGGUGUAGCGGUGAGAUGCGCAGAUAUCAGGAGGAACACCAAUGGCGAAGGCAGCUCGCUGGGACGAUACUGACGCUGAGACGCGAAAGCGUGGGGAGCAAACAGG